GGACAAGCUACUAAGGGUCCACGGUGGAUGCCUAGGCACCAAACGCCGAAGAAGGACGCGGCUACCUGCGAUAAGCCACGGGGAGCUGGAAGCAAGCGAUGAUCCGUGGGUUUCCGAAUGGGGAAACCUGCCUGGGGGAAUGCCCAGGCACUCCUGGUUGAACACAUAGACCAGGUAGAGGGCACCCGGGGAACUGAAACAUCUUAGUACCCGGAGGAAGAGAUAUUUCCUGAGUAGAGGCGAUCGAAAGGGGAGCAGCCUAAACCGUGUGCGUGCCAAGACGGCAGUCGUUGCGCGCGCGGUGUUGUGGGACCGUUCCGUUGGCCCUGCCGGGCCGGCAAGGAGUUACAAAACCGGCGGUUAGUCGAAGCUUGGUGGAAUACAACGCCAGAGUGGGUGAAAGCCCCGUAGACGAAAGCUGACCGGUCUCCUGAGCGGCACCCGAGUACCCCGGGACACGCGGAAUCCUGGGGGAAUCUGCGCUGACCACAGCGUAAGGCUAAAUACGUUUGGUGACCGAUAGUGAAGAGUACCGUGAGGGAAAGGUGAAAAGAACCCCGGGAGGGGAGUUAAAAGAACCUGAAACCGUGGACUUACAAUCCGUCAGAGGCCUAGGUCUGGUUACUUCGGUUUCCAGGCAGGCUGAUGGCGUGCCUUUUGUAGAAUGAGCCGGCGAGUUACUUGUCUGUGGCGAGGCUAAGGGGGUGACACCCGGAGCCGUAGCGAAAGCGAGUCUGAAUAGGGCGCGGCCUCUCGUGAGAGAGGUGGUAGUCGCAGGCAGUAGACCCGAAACCGGGUGACCUACCCAUGGUCAGGGUGAAGCAAGGGUAAAACCUUGUGAAGGCCCGAACCGACUUAGGUUGCAAACUGAGCGGAUGAACUGUGGGUAGCGGUGAAAUGCCAAUCGAACCAGGAGAUAGCUGGUUCUCGUCGAAAUGCCUUUAGGGGCAGCGUUGUCGUGGGCUGGCGCAGGUAGAGCACUGAAUGGGCUAGGGGCGGUUUCCCCGUUACCAAACCCAACCAAACUCCGAAUGGCGUCAGGUUAUACGGCAGCAGUGAGACCACGGGGGCUAAGCUCCGUGGUCGAGAGGGAAACAGCCCAGACCAUCGGCUAAGGUCCCUAAAUCGUGACUAAGUGGCGAAGGAUGUCGCUUCGCCCAGACAACCAGGAGGUUGGCUUGGAGGCAGCCAUCCUUGAAAGAGUGCGUAAUAGCUCACUGGUCGAGUGGAGUGGCGCCGAAAAUGAUCGGGGCUCAAGUCACGUACCGAAGCCAUGGAGCGCCACGUAAGUGGCGCUGGUAGACGAGCGUCGUGCGCUGCGAUGAAGCAUGAACGAAAGUCCGUGUGGAGUGCGCACGAGUGCGAAUGCCGGCACAAGUAGCGUAAAGGCAGGUGAGAAACCUGCCCGCCGUAAGACUAAGGUUUCCUGGGCCACGUUAAUCGUCCCAGGGUCAGUCGGGACCUAAGCCGAGGCCGAAGGGCGUAGGCGAUGGACAGCUGGUUCACAUUCCAGCACCACCUCGUAUUCGUUAUCACCGAUGGGGGGACGAAGGAGGGUAGGUUAUCCGGGCGAUUGGAUGUGCCCGGCCAGAGAUGUAGGGAGUUCCGGUAGGCAAAUCCGCCGGGGCGUUUACCUGAGGUCGAUGGGGAUCUCCCGCGAGGGAGAGUAGUAACUGAUCCCAAGCUUCCCAGAAAAGCCUCUAGGGAGAAUGCAGGUGCCCGUACCGCAAACCGACACUGGUAGUCGGGAAGAGGAUUCCAAGGCGAUCGAGAGAACUCUGGCUAAGGAACUAGGCAAAAUAGCCCCGUAACUUCGGGAGAAGGGGUGCUCUCCGGCGUCAUGGCUCUUGCAGCCGCAGCGUCGGGAGUCGCAGCUAAGAGGUCCAACCGACUGUUUACUAAAAACAUAGGUCUCUGCGAACCCGGAAGGGGACGUAUAGGGGCUGACGCCUGCCCGGUGCCGGAAGGUUAAGAGGAGGGCUGCAAGGCUCGAAUUGAAGCCCCGGUAAACGGCGGCCGUAACUAUAACGGUCCUAAGGUAGCGAAAUUCCUUGUCGGGUAAGUUCCGACCCGCACGAAUGGCGUAACGAGUUGGACGCUGUCUCGGCCAGAGACUCGGCGAAACUGCAGUACCUGUGAAGAUACAGGUUACGCGCGGCAGGACGGAAAGACCCCGUGGAGCUUUACUAUAGCUUGGCAUUGAACUGGGGUCUAAUUUGUAGAGGAUAGCUGGGAGACUGAGAAGCCCGCACGCCAGUUCGGGUGGAGUCAACCUUGGAAUACCAGCCUUGUUAGUUCUUAGUUCUAACGGCGUCCCUGAUCGGGAUGCCGGACAGUGCCUGGUGGGUAGUUUGACUGGGGCGGUCGCCUCCCAAAAAGUAACGGAGGCGCCCAAAGGUUCCCUCAGCCUGGGUGGAAAUCAGGCGCAGAGUGCAAUGGCAUAAGGGAGCUUGACUGUGAGACCUACAAGUCGAACAGGGACGAAAGUCGGGCAUAGUGAUCUGACGGUUCAAAGUGGAAUGACCGUCACUCAACGGAUAAAAGUUACCCCGGGGAUAACAGGCUUAUCGCGCCCAAGCGUCCACAGCGACGGCGCGGUUUGGCACCUCGAUGUCGGCUCGUCGCAUCCUGGGGCUGGAGUCGGUCCCAAGGGUUGGGCUGUUCGCCCAUUAAAGCGGUACGCGAGCUGGGUUUAGAACGUCGUGAGACAGUUCGGUCCCUAUCCGCCGUGCGCGUAGGAGACUUGAGAAGGGUUGACCCUAGUACGAGAGGACCGGGUUGAACGGACCGCUAGUGUACCGGUUGUCACGCCAGUGGCAGUGCCGGGUAGCCAUGUCCGGUUCGGAUAAGCGCUGAAAGCAUCUAAGCACGAAGCCGACUUCAAGAUAAGGUCUCCCACCGGGUAACCGGGUAAGGGCCCUGGUAGACCACCAGGUAGAUAGGCCGGAGGUGUAAGGCAGGUGACUGCUUGAGCUGAACGGUACUAAUCGCCCGAGGGCUUGUCCAC
rnacentral:rRNA from 1 species